UACGUAGGGGGCGAGCGUUGUCCGGAUUUAUUGGGCGUAAAGCGCGCGCAGGCGGCUUCUUAAGUCUGAUGUGAAAGCCCGUGGCUCAACCACGGAGGGUCAUUGGAAACUGGGGAGCUUGAGUACAGAAGAGGAGAGUGGAAUUCCACGUGUAGCGGUGAAAUGCGUAGAGAUGUGGAGGAACACCAGUGGCGAAAGCGGCUCUCUGGUCUGUAACUGACGCUGAGGCGCGAAAGCGUGGGGAGCAAACAGG
rnacentral:rRNA from 1 species